rnacentral:rRNA from 1 species
CAGGUGUAGCGGUGAAAUGCGUAGAGAUCUGAAGGAAUACCGAUGGCGAAGGCAGCCUCCUGGCAUCAUACUGACACUGAGGUUCGAAAGCGUGGGUAGCAAACAGGAUUAGAUACCCUGGUAGUCCACGCCGUAAACGAUGUCUACUAGUCGUUGGGGAACUUGAUUCCUUAGUGACGCAGCUAACGCAAUAAGUAGACCGCCUGGGGAGUACGGCCGCAAGGUUAAAACUCAAAUGAAUUGACGGGGGCCCGCACAAGCGGUGGAGCAUGUGGUUUAAUUCGAUGCAACGCGAAGAACCUUACCUGGUCUUGACAUAUCUAGAAUCCUGCAGAGAUGCGGGAGUGCCUUCGGGAAUUAGAAUACAGGUGCUGCAUGGCUGUCGUCAGCUCGUGUCGUGAGAUGUUGGGUUAAGUCCCGCAACGAGCGCAACCCUUUUCCUUAGUUACCAGCGGUUUGGCCGGGGACUCUAAGGAUACUGCCAGUGACAAACUGGAGGAAGGCGGGGACGACGUCAAGUCAUCAUGGCCCUUACGACCAGGGCUACACACGUGCUACAAUGGUAGGUACAGAGGGCAGCUACACAGCGAUGUGAUGCGAAUCUCAAAAAGCCUAUCGUAGUCCAGAUUGGAGUCUGCAACUCGGGUCCAUGAAGUAGGAAUCGCUAGUAAUC